rnacentral:rRNA from 1 species
UAGGGAAUCUUCGGCAAUGGGGGGAACCCUGACCGAGCAACGCCGCGUGAGUGAAGAAGGUUUUCGGAUCGUAAAGCUCUGUUGUUAAGGAAGAACGAGUGUGAGAAUGGAAAGUUCAUACUGUGACGGUACUUAACCAGAAAGGGACGGCUAACUACGUGCCAGCAGCCGCGGUAAUACGUAGGUCCCGAGCGUUGUCCGGAUUUAUUGGGCGUAAAGCGAGCGCAGGCGGUUAGAAAAGUCUGAGGUGAAAGGCAGUGGCUCAACCAUUGUAGGCUUUGGAAACUGUUUAUCUUGAGUGCAGAAGGGGAGAGUGGAAUUCCAUGUGUAGCGGUGAAAUGCGUAGAUAUAUGGAGGAACACCGGUGGCGAAAGCUGCUCUCUGGUCUGUAACUGACGCAGAGGCUCGAAAGCGUGGGGAGCGAACAGG